UUCCAGCUGAGGAGUCCCAAAUAGGACGAAACGCGCGUCAAACUGGAU
rnacentral:hammerhead_ribozyme from 1 species